UGGGCGUAAGCGCACGCAGGCGGUCUGUCAAGUCGGAUGUGAAAUCCCCGGGCUCAACCUGGGAACUGCAUUCGAAACUGGCAGGCUAGAGUCUUGUAGAGGGGGGUAGAAUUCCAGGUGUAGCGGUGAAAUGCGUAGAGAUCUGGAGGAAUACCGGUGGCGAAGGCGGCCCCCUGGACAAAGACUGACGCUCAGGUGCGAAAGCGUGGGGAGCAAACAGGAUUAGAUACCCUGGUAGUCCACGCCGUAAACGAUGUCGACUUGGAGGUUGUGCCCUUGAGGCGUGGCUUCCGGAGCUAACGCGUUAAGUCGACCGCCUGGGGAGUACGGCCGCAAGGUUAAAACUCAAAUGAAUUGACGGGGGCCCGCACAAGCGGUGGAGCAUGUGGUUUAAUUCGAUGCAACGCGAAGAACCUUACCUACUCUUGACAUCCAGAGAACUUUGCAGAGAUGGAUUGGUGCCUUCGGGAACUCUGAGACAGGUGCUGCAUGGCUGUCGUCAGCUCGUGUUGUGAAAUGUUGGGUUAAGUCCCGCAACGAGCGCAACCCUUAUCCUUUGUUGCCAGCGGUUAGGCCGGGAACUCAAAGGAGACUGCCAGUGAUAAACU
rnacentral:rRNA from 1 species